rnacentral:rRNA from 1 species
CCUACGGGAGGCAGCAGUGGGGAAUAUUGCACAAUGGGGGAAACCCUGAUGCAGCGACGCCGCGUGAGUGAAGAAGUAUCUCGGUACGUAAAGCUCUAUCAGCAGGGAAGAAAAUGACGGUACCUGACUAAGAAGCCCCGGCUAACUACGUGCCGGCAGCCGCGGUAAUACGUAGGGGGCAAGCGUUAUCCGGAUUUACUGGGUGUUAAGGGAGCGUAGACGGCAGCACAAGCCUGGAGUGAAGUCCUGGGGCUUAACCCCGGAACUGCUUUGGAAACCGUGCGGCUGGAGUGCACGGUGGGUAAGCGGAAUUCCUGGUGUAGCGGUGAAAUGCUUAGAUAUUAGGAGGAACCCCGGUGGCGAGGGCGGCUUACUGGACUGUAACUGACGUUGAGGCUCGAAAGCGUGGGGAGCAAACAGGAUUAGAUACCCUGGUAGUC